rnacentral:rRNA from 1 species
UACGAAGGGGGGCUAGCGUUGUUCGGAAUUACUGGGCGUAAAGCGCACGUAGGCGGAUAUUUAAGUCAGGGGUGAAAUCCCAGAGCUCAACUCUGGAACUGCCUUUGAUACUGGGUAUCUUGAGUAUGGAAGAGGUUAGUGGAAUUGCGAGUGUAGAGGUGAAAUUCGUAGAUAUUCGCAGGAACACCAGUGGCGAAGGCGGCUAACUGGUCCAUAACUGACGCUGAGGUGCGAAAGCGUGGGGAGCAA